CAGUAGCCACGGUAAUACAGAGGGUGCAAGCGUUAAUCGGAUUUACUGGGCGUAAAGGGCGCGUAGGUGGUUAUGUAAGUGAGAUGUGAAAUCCCCGGGCUCAACCUGGGAACUGCAUCUUAUACUGCGUAGCUGGAGUGCAGUAGAGGGUAGUGGAAUUUCCGGUGUAGCGGUGAAAUGCGUAGAUAUCGGAAGGAACACCUGUGGCGAAAGCGGUUACCUGGAAGAUUCCUGACUCUGAAACACGAAAGCCAGGGGAGCAAACGGGAUUAGAUACCCCUGUAGUCCCUGUCUCUUAUAC
rnacentral:rRNA from 1 species